rnacentral:lncRNA from 1 species
UGUGAUAUUUUGAAAUCAAGUAUCAUUUUGAAAACACGUCCUAAGUCUAGCCCAUUUGUAUAAUUAUCAACCAGUUUUAAAAUUAUUAAAAAUAAAAUAAUCCCGAAAAGAAGUAAAAGAAAAGUUAAAAUGGCCUUAUUACAACCCAAGAAUAAAUAAUAAUUAAAGGAAAUUUAAAGAAAACCAAUGCUUAUUUAAAAGCUUAAAGGCGAUCACUUUGGCCACUCUGAAUCCCCUCCGUCUCC